GACGGAGGAUGCAAGUGUUAUCCGGAAUCACUGGGCGUAAAGCGUCUGUAGGUUGUUGUUUAAGUCAACUGUUAAAUCUUGAGGCUCAACCUCGAAAUCGCUGUCGAAACUAUUCAACUUGAGUAUAGUAGGGGUAAAGGGAAUUUCCAGUGGAGCGGUGAAAUGCGUAGAUAUUGGAAAGAACACCGAUGGCGAAGGCACUUUACUGGGCUAUUACUGACACUCAGAGACGAGAGCUAGGGUAGCAAAUGGGAUUAGAUACCCCAGUAGUCCUAGCUGUAAACGAUGGAUACUAGAUGUUGGACAGUUACUGCAGUAUCAAAGCUAACGCGUUAAGUAUCCCGCCUGGGAAGUAUGCUCGCAAGAGUG
rnacentral:rRNA from 1 species